GACGAACGCUGGCGGCGUGCUUAACACAUGCAAGUCGAACGAUGAAGCUGGAGCUUGCUCCGGUGGAUUAGUGGCGAACGGGUGAGUAACACGUGAGGAAUCUGCCCUUGACUCUGGGAUAACUGCGGGAAACUGUAGCUAAUACCGGAUACGAGACCUGAAGGCAUCUGCGGGUCUGGAAAGAACUUCGGUCAAGGAUGAGCUCGCGGCCUAUCAGCUUGUUGGUGAGGUAAUGGCUCACCAAGGCGACGACGGGUAGCCGGCCUGAGAGGGUGACCGGCCACACUGGGACUGAGACACGGCCCAGACUCCUACGGGAGGCAGCAGUGGGGAAUAUUGCACAAUGGGCGAAAGCCUGAUGCAGCAACGCCGCGUGAGGGAUGAAGGCCUUCGGGUUGUAAACCUCUUUUAGCAGAGAAGAAGCGAAAGUGACGGUACCUGCAGAAAAAGCACCGGCUAACUACGUGCCAGCAGCCGCAGUAA
rnacentral:rRNA from 1 species